ACCCGAUGCAAACUGCGAAUACCGGAGAAUGUUAUCACGGGAGACACACGGCGGGUGCUAACGUCCGUCGUGAAGAGGGAAACAACCCAGACCGCCAGCUAAGGUCCCAAAGUCAUGGUUAAGUGGGAAACGAUGUGGGAAGGCCCAGACAGCCAGGAUGUUGGCUUAGAAGCAGCCAUCAUUUAAAGAAAGCGUAAUAGCUCACUGGUCGAGUCGGCCUGCGCGGAAGAUGUAACGGGGCUAAACCAUGCACCGAAGCUGCGGCAGCGACGCUUAUGCGUUGUUGGGUAGGGGAGCGUUCUGUAAGCCUGCGAAGGUGUGCUGUGAGGCAUGCUGGAGGUAUCAGAAGUGCGAAUGCUGACAUAAGUAACGAUAAAGCGGGUGAAAAGCCCGCUCGCCGGAAGACCAAGGGUUCCUGUCCAACGUUAAUCGGGGCAGGGUGAGUCGACCCCUAAGGCGAGGCCGAAAGGCGUAGUCGAUGGGAAACAGGUUAAUAUUCCUGUACUUGGUGUUACUGCGAAGGGGGGACGGAGAAGGCUAUGUUGGCCGGGCGACGGUUGUCCCGGUUUAAGCGUGUAGGCUGGUUUUCCAGGCAAAUCCGGAAAAUCAAGGCUGAGGCGUGAUGACGAGGCACUACGGUGCUGAAGCAACAAAUGCCCUGCUUCCAGGAAAAGCCUCUAAGCAUCAGGUAACAUCAAAUCGUACCCCAAACCGACACAGGUGGUCAGGUAGAGAAUACCAAGGCGCUUGAGAGAACUCGGGUGAAGGAACUAGGCAAAAUGGUGCCGUAACUUCGGGAGAAGGCACGCUGAUAUGUAGGUGAAGUCCCUUGCGGAUGGAGCUGAAAUCAGUCGAAGAUACCAGCUGGCUGCAACUGUUUAUUAAAAACACAGCACUGUGCAAACACGAAAGUGGACGUAUACGGUGUGACGCCUGCCCGGUGCCGGAAGGUUAAUUGAUGGGGUCAGCGCAAGCGAAGCUCUUGAUCGAAGCCCCGGUAAACGGCGGCCGUAACUAUAACGGUCCUAAGGUAGCGAAAUUCCUUGUCGGGUAAGUUCCGACCUGCACGAAUGGCGUAAUGAUGGCCAGGCUGUCUCCACCCGAGACUCAGUGAAAUUGAACUCGCUGUGAAGAUGCAGUGUACCCGCGGCAAGACGGAAAGACCCCGUGAACCUUUACUAUAGCUUGACACUGAACAUUGAGCCUUGAUGUGUAGGAUAGGUGGGAGGCUUUGAAGUGUGGACGCCAGUCUGCAUGGAGCCGGCCUUGAAAUACCACCCUUUAAUGUUUGAUGUUCUAACGUGGACCCGUGAUCCGGGUUGCGGACAGUGUCUGGUGGGUAGUUUGACUGGGGCGGUCUCCUCCUAAAGAGUAACGGAGGAGCACGAAGGUUGGCUAAUCCUGGUCGGACAUCAGGAGGUUAGUGCAAUGGCAUAAGCCAGCUUGACUGCGAGCGUGACGGCGCGAGCAGGUGCGAAAGCAGGUCAUAGUGAUCCGGUGGUUCUGAAUGGAAGGGCCAUCGCUCAACGGAUAAAAGGUACUCCGGGGAUAACAGGCUGAUACCGCCCAAGAGUUCAUAUCGACGGCGGUGUUUGGCACCUCGAUGUCGGCUCAUCACAUCCUGGGGCUGAAGUAGGUCCCAAGGGUAUGGCUGUUCGCCAUUUAAAGUGGUACGCGAGCUGGGUUUAGAACGUCGUGAGACAGUUC
rnacentral:rRNA from 1 species